UUUUCAGUUGAACUUGCAGUUUAAAGAAAAUGAUGAAUGGACAAUAUGACGUGAUUAUUGUGUCUUUGAGUAUAGGAGAACUGCAACACUCCUAUAUCCCCAUUCUGAU